rnacentral:vault_RNA from 1 species
GCGUUGGUUUAGCUCAGUGGUUACUUCUCGCAACUAAAACAUUGCUCAUAGCCGUCGGUUCACUGAUGGCUGGAGAUCGAACCACGGGCUCAGUCCAGCGUUUUG